rnacentral:rRNA from 1 species
UACGGGGGGGGCAAGCGUUGUUCGGAAUUACUGGGCGUAAAGGGCUCGUAGGCGGCCGGCUAAGUCAGACGUGAAAUCCCCCGGCUCAACCGGGGAACUGCGUCUGAGACUGGCUGGCUUGAAUCCGGGAGAGGGAUGUGGAAUUCCAGGUGUAGCGGUGAAAUGCGUAGAUAUCUGGAGGAACACCGGUGGCGAAGGCGGCAUCCUGGACCGGUAUUGACGCUGAGGAGCGAAAGCCAGGGGAGCAAACGGG